CUGGACAGUGCAAUGAUUAUAAAACAUUCCUCGUACUGAUGGGAGAUCCAUGUGAACGACUCCUAUACACCCAUAGAAUCUGAGCACC
rnacentral:snoRNA from 1 species